rnacentral:rRNA from 1 species
UACGGAGGAUCCAAGCGUUAUCCGGAAUUACUGGGCGUAAAGAGUUGCGUAGGUGGCAUCGUAAGUUGAUAGUGAAAUUGUGUGGCUCAACCAUACACCCAUUAUCAAAACUGCGAAGCUAGAAGAUGAGAGAGGUCACUGGAAUUCCUUGUGUAGGAGUGAAAUCCGUAGAUAUAAGGAGGAACACCGAUGGCGUAGGCAGGUGACUGGCUCAUUCUUGACACUAAGGCACGAAAGCGUGGGUAGCAAACGGG